rnacentral:rRNA from 1 species
UCUUCUUUGCUGGCGACCGGCGCACGGGUGAGUAACACGUAUCCAACCUGCCCUUUACUCGGGGAUAGCCUUUCGAAAGAAAGAUUAAUACCCGAUAGCAUAAUGAUUCCGCAUGGUUUCAUUAUUAAAGGAUCCGGUAAAGGAUGGGGAUGCGUUCCAUUAGGUUGUUGGUGAGGUAACGGCCCACCAAGCCUUCGAUGGAUAGGGGUUCUGAGAGGAAGGUCCCCCACAUUGGAACUGAGACACGGUCCAA